AGGGUUAAAGAUCGGUUCCUACAUACUUCCCCUGCCGCAUUUCUUCCUCACUCAUCUUCUCUUUCUCUCUCCUCAAAUCAUUGUCAACACUUCUCAUUUCUCUUCUUCCUCACUCGUGUUCUCUCUCUUCCUGUUCUUCAAGCUCAACAACAAUGGCGGCAACUCCAUUGUCAAUCGAGAAGACCACCUCUGGUAGACUCGAAAUCGAGCUUGCUGAAGUCGAAAUGCCUGGACUUAUGUCUUGCCGUACUGAAUUUGGUCCUUCUCAACCUUUUAAAGGUGCUAAGAUGAAACUGCUGUUCUUAUUGAGACUCAUACUACUCUUUUUGCAGAAGUUCGUUGGUGUUCUUGCUAAAUCUUCUCUACCUAGGACCAUGCUGCUGCUGGUAUUGCUAGGGAAAUUGCUGCAGUAUUCGCUUGCAAGGUGGCGAAUUGCUCAAGAAGAUUAGGGACAGUGCUGCAGUAUUCUUCCAUAGAUUAUUAGAUUAUCGCAAGCCUGAAGUUGAAGCUCUUCCUGAGCUUUUUGGAGCUUUUGGAGAGGACAGCAAUGGCGAAAUCCACUCACUUGAGUGGAAACUACCAGAUAACUUCCACCCUGAUAACCCCUUCCAUUUCGUCAAUAUCCCUUCUGAGGAUAUUGCUCGCAACAUCGCCAAACGAAAUGUGUGCAACAAAAAUUAGGGGGACCUACUGUUAAUGAAUAUGAGAAACUUCAGACUGAGAUGUCAGAGCUGCAGGAGAAAUACAAAGAGCUUCUGGCCACCCAUCAAGAGACUAUUAAGCAGGUUUCUUCUUGAUUAGGGUAGAUACAUGACAAGUAGUGAUGGCUCUAGCAUUCCCGGUUCACUUGCUGUGCCUAUGGGAGCUGAAAAUCAGUAAACCGAGAGUACGACAAGAUAUGCUACUCAGAUCUUCUCCGGGGGCUUCAACAGUUCAACAAUCAACACGGUUGGUAGUGCUUCCUCCAGUUCCUCCUCCGCUGCCCCCCUUUGCUGAAAUCACGGCAAAAAUAAACAACAGGAACAACCCCAGAAAGAAAAACAAUCUGCUGUUGUUGAAACAGUUUUGAAUUAUGAGCAAACGAGAGAACAACGUAUUGAAUUUGAAUCUCAUCUUAGUUAUAGCAA